rnacentral:rRNA from 1 species
UACGUAGGUGACCAGCGUUGUCCGGAUUUACUGGGCGUAAAGAGCGCGCAGGCGGUCGUUCAAGUCGAGUGUGAAAGCCCCCGGCUCAACUGGGGAGGGUCAUUCGAUACUGAUCGACUGGAAGGCAGGAGAGGGAAGCGGAAUUCCCGGUGUAGUGGUGAAAUGCGUAGAUAUCGGGAGGAACACCAGUGGCGAAGGCGGCUUCCUGGCCUGUUCUUGACGCUGAGGAGCGAAAGCGUGGGGAGCGAACAGG